rnacentral:rRNA from 1 species
GGAGCGGCUGACGGGUGAGUAACGCGUGGGAACGUACCUUUUGCUACGGAAUAACUCAGGGAAACUUGUGCUAAUACCGUAUGUGCCCUUCGGGGGAAAGAUUUAUCGGCAAGGAUCGGCCCGCGUUGGAUUAGCUAGUUGGUGAGGUAAAGGCUCACCAAGGCGACUAUCCAUAGCUGGUCUGAGAGGAUGAUCAACCACACUGGGACUGAAACACGGCCCAGACUCCUACGGGAGGCAGCAGUGGGGAAUAUUGGACAAUGGGCGCAAGCCUGAUCCAUCCAUGCCGCGUGAGUGAUGAAGGCCCUAGGGUUGUAAAGCUCUUUCACCGGUGAAGAUAAUGACGGUCACCGGAGAAGAAGCCCCGGCUAACUUCGUGCCAACAGCCGCGGUAAUACGAAGGGGGCUAGCGUUGUUCGGAUUUACUGGGCGUAAAGCGCACGUAGGCGGACUUUUAAGUCAGGGGUGAAAUCCCGGGGCUCA